GACACUCUAGCCUGGGCAACAGAGUGAGACUCUAUCUCAAAAUAAAAAAUGAUCAUUUAUUUUAUGUCUCUUCACUCUCCCACUAAAAUAAGGUUCAUAACAACAGAGGGUUGUUUUUGUUUUUUGUUUUUUUAUCUGUUUUGUGCCUUGCUGUCUCUAAUUGUUUAGAAUAGGGCCUGGCAUAUAUUAAUUGUUGGUGCUAAAUAAGUAUUUGAUCAAUGAAUUUCCAAUAAUAGUUACCUUGUUGAAUCCUCAUUCUAAUUCUAAGCAUUAUACUUAGUAUUUUGUAUGCAUUAUCUCUUUAAAUUUCAAUAAUAAUCCAAUGAGAUAGACAUUCCUAAAUUUUAUAGAUGAGGAUGUAAAGUUUUACAGAGGCUAAAUAAAUUACUGAGGGUCACAGUAGGUAGAAUAAUCCCAGGUCUUCUGACUUCAGAGUGCAAGUUCUUGACCAUUUCUAAUAUAAUAGACUCUCCUCCCAGAAAAUGUUUAAGAUGAGACAACGUUUGUUUUAAUUAUGAUUUCCAUACCUGCUUGUAUGAAAAAAUUAAAUUACUUAUGAGCUUUAUCUAUAUCACUUGUAAUGUUAGUGGUAUUGGACAAGAUAGGCCUAAAAGGACCUUCCCUGUUAUGAAAUGAACAUAAUAAAUAUUGGAUAAUUAAUGGGAAUUACAGAAAAAACUAGGACUCAAAAGUUUUUAGAGGGAAUGAGGUGUAUGAUACAGUGUUAAUUUGUUAUGCCUUCACACUUGCCCCUGUUCAGUUGAAGAAGAGGAGGAGGAAGAAGUGAUAGAAGAAGAGGAGACAUCUGUGAAGAAAAAGAAGAAAAAGGAUAAAAAGAAACACAUUAAGGAAGAACCGCUUUCUGAGGAAGAGCCAUGUACCAGCACAGCAGUUCCUAGUCCAGAGAAAAAGAAGAAAAAGAAAAAAAAGAAAGAUAAUGAGGACUAAAAGAAGGGAACCAUGAUUGUAUCACCUGUACACAUCAUGCUUAAGAUUCAGUUGAGAGGAUGCCAGAGAUUCUCUCUUACAUAAUCCAGGGAAGGUUGAAUGAAACAAUGUGAUUAUUCAUCUAUAACUUUUAAGAAAACCUAUUUGUGUUUGCCAUUGACUCUGUUAACCUUAUUAUGUCAUCAUUUCUUAGAGUCUCUGAUAACAAAUAAAAUUUUCUUUGUAUUUUAA